UACGAAGGGGGCUAGCGUUGCCCGGAAUCACUGGGCGUAAAGCGUACGUAGGUGGUUUUUUAAGUCAGCGGUGAAAUCCUGGAGCUCAACUCCAGAACUGCCUUUGAUACUGGUAGUCUCGAGUCCGGAAGAGGUGAGUGGAAUUCCGAGUGUAGAGGUGAAAUUCGUAGAUAUUCGGAGGAACACCAGUGGCGAAGGCGGCUCACUGGUCCGGUACUGACGCUGAGGUGCGAAAGCGUGGGGAGCAAACAGG
rnacentral:rRNA from 1 species